rnacentral:rRNA from 1 species
UUUUAUGGAGAGUUUGAUCCUGGCUCAGGAUGAACGCUGGCGGCGUGCCUAAUACAUGCAAGUCGAGCGAACGGACGAGAAGCUUGCUUCUCUGAUGUUAGCGGCGGACGGGUGAGUAACACGUGGAUAACCUACCUAUAAGACUGGGAUAACUUCGGGAAACCGGAGCUAAUACCGGAUAAUAUUUUGAACCGCAUGGUUCAAAAGUGAAAGACGGUCUUGCUGUCACUUAUAGAUGGAUCCGCGC